rnacentral:rRNA from 1 species
UACAGAGGGUGCAAGCGUUAAUCGGAAUUACUGGGCGUAAAGGGCGCGUAGGCGGUUAUGUAAGUGAGAUGUGAAAUCCCUGGGCUUAACCUAGGAACUGCAUCUCAUACUGUGUGACUAGAGUAUUGUAGAGGGUAGUGGAAUUUCCGGUGUAGCGGUGAAAUGCGUAGAGAUCGGAAGGAACACCAGUGGCGAAGGCGGCUACCUGGACAAAUACUGACGCUGAUGCGCGAGAGCGUGGGGAGCAAACAGG